rnacentral:rRNA from 1 species
GCGUCCCAUUAGCUAGUUGGUGAGGUAACGGCUCACCAAGACCUCGAUGGGUAGGGGCUCUGAGAGGAUUGUCCCCCACACUGGUACUGAGACACGGACCAGACUCCUACGGGAGGCAGCAGUAAGGAAUAUUGGGCAAUGGACGCAAGUCUGACCCAGCCAUGCCGCGUGAAGGAAGACGGCCCUAUGGGUUGUAAACUUCUUUUCUCAGGGGGUAAACUUCGGAACGUGUUCCGGACUGAAAGUACCUGAGGAAUAAGCAUCGGCUAACUCCGUGCCAGCAGCCGCGGUAAUACGGAGGAUGCGAGCGUUAUCCGGAUUCAUUGGGUUUAAAGGGUGCGCAGGCGGAUAUAUAAGUCGGAGGUGAAAUUCUGAUGCUCAACAUCAGCCGUGCCUUCGAUACUGUAUAUCUAGAGUCAAGUUGGAGUAGGCGGAAUGUGUUGUGUAGCGGUGAAAUGCUUAGAUAUAACACAGAACACCGAUCGCGAAGGCAGCUUACUAAACUUUGACUGACGCUCAUGCACGAAAGCGUGGGGAUCAAACAGGAUUAGAUACCCUGGUAGUCCACGCUGUAAACGAUGAUUACUCGCUGUUGGCGAUACACAGUCAGUGGCUAAGCGAAAGUGAUAA